rnacentral:rRNA from 1 species
GAGUUUGAUCGUGGCUCAGAGUGAACGCUGGCGGCGUGCCUAACACAUGCAAGUCGAACGAGAACGGAACUAGCUUGCUAGUUUGUCAGCUAAGUGGCGCACGGGUGAGUAAUAUAUAGUUAAUCUGCCCUGAAGAAGAGAAUAAUUGUUGGAAACGACUUGUAAUGCUCUAUAUGCCUUUAUCACAUAAGUGAGCAAGGGAAAUAUUUAUAGCUUCGGGAUGAGACUGUACGGUAUCAGCUAGUUGGUGAGGUAAUGGCUCACCAAGGCAAUGACAUCUAACUGGUUUGAGAGGAUGAUCAGUCACACUGGAACUGAGACACGGUCCAGACUCCUACGGGAGGCAGCAGUGGGGAAUAUUGCACAAUGGAGGAAACUCUGAUGCAGCAACGCCGCGUAGAGGAUGACACAUUUCGGUGCGUAAACUCCUUUUAUUAGGGAAGAUAAUGACGGUACCUAAUGAAUAAGCACCGGCUAACUCCGUGCCAGCAGCCGCGGUAAUACGGGGGGUGCAAGCGUUACUCGGAAUCACUGGGCGUAAAGAGCAUGUAGGCUGAUUAGUAAGUUGGAAGUGAAAUCCUAUGGCUCAA